CGACCGGAUAGCAUGAAGUAUACAAUUUACUUUCAAGAACCAGUAGAAGAAUAAUGUAGUAAUUCCUUCUGUCCUUAUAGCUCUAGAUCAUCCUAGGAUAUGGUUCAACUGUCAAAUCCUAAUAGGCGAUCAACUAUGUGUUCACGUCAAAUAUAAUCGACCAUUGAAUGAUGGAUCACCCUAGGAUAUGGUUCAACUGUCAAAUCCUAAUAGGUGAUCAACUAUGUGUUC
rnacentral:lncRNA from 1 species